CUCAAAGGUGGAGAGAAGGCAGAGGAACUAGGGAAAUCAGGACCCAAGAAACAGCACAGUGAAAUAUCUUUACAAUAAUAGUGGCAUUAUUUGGAAGCACACAGCGGAGAUCACUGGUGCUAUUUGGGAUACACACUUGGAUCUUGAACCCUAAACACAGAGCCUGAAAAUACACUAUUCUUCAGCCAGCAUCUAGUGAAAACAAACAGUGGAGUCCUCUCAGCGUUGGGAAACCCCUGGAGGAUGAGUCACAGUGGCAUGGUUUGAGAUAUCAAGAGUAAGAGGCGGCGUUGCUGAAAAGCAUUCAUUCCAGCUGAACAGUAAGAACACUGAAGUCUAAAGAAGUGUUGCAUUGGAAGAAUGAAAAGGAAAGGAUGCUGAUCAGGAUGCUGAAACCAGAGAGAAGGCACACCAUGUCUCAAAGUUCUACGGUUUACCACCUCAAGGAUAGAGAAAUGGAGUAAAAUUGGGUGAUGCUGAUUUCAAAAGGAGUAAGGAAUUACAAGAUGCUACCAAGAUAAUAGAUUCAAAUGUGCUAGAAGUAAACAAUUAUGCCAUUAACCACAGUCCCUGUUGGAACUUCCAGGAAAGUAAUUAUCAGGAAGGAAUCAGACUUACAUGUAUAUGAGCAGGUACAAUACUGGAGAAGGUAAAAGGAUGAAGGAGAUUAUGACAUAGAUAGACCAGUGCUGGGAAGGCAAGAGUUUUCUUCUUUGUGGACUAGAGCUUAGUGAACUGGAUGUUUUUAUUCAGAUAAUAUACAAGAUAAGGGCUGGUAUGUAUGAAAACAAAUAGAUGAAUGAGAG